rnacentral:rRNA from 1 species
AUUGAACGCUGGCGGCAUGCUUUACACAUGCAAGUCGAACGGUAACAGGCCUUCGGGUGCUGACGAGUGGCGAACGGGUGAGUAAUGCAUCGGAACGUACCCAGAGGUGGGGGAUAACGCAGCGAAAGCUGUGCUAAUACCGCAUGUGAUCUGAGGAUGAAAGCGGGGGACCGAGCAGCAAUGUUUGGCCUCGCGCCUUUGGAGCGGCCGAUGUCGGAUUAGCUAGUUGGUGGGGUAAAGGCCUACCAAGGCGACGAUCCGUAGCUGGUCUGAGAGGACGACCAGCCACACUGGGACUGAGACACGGCCCAGACUCCUACGGGAGGCAGCAGUGGGGAAUUUUGGACAAUGGGCGCAAGCCUGAUCCAGCAAUGCCGCGAGCGGGAAGAAGGCCUUCGGGUUGUAAACCGCUUUUGGCAGGAACGAAACGGUGUCCGCUAAUACCGGGCGCUAAUGACGGUACCUGCAGAAUAAGCACCGGCUAACUACGUG